UACGUAGGGUGCAAGCGUUGUCCGGAAUUAUUGGGCGUAAAGGGCUCGUAGGCGGUCCGUCGCGUCGGGAGUGAAAACUCGGAGCUUAACUCCGAGCCUGCUUCCGAUACGGGCAGACUAGAGGUUAGGCAGGGAGAGCGGAACUCCUGGUGUAGCGGUGGAAUGCGCAGAUAUCAGGAGAACACCGGUGGCGAAGGCGGCUCUCGUGGCCUUACCUGACGCUGAGGAGCGAAGCGUGGGUAGCGAACAGG
rnacentral:rRNA from 1 species